UACAGAGGGUGCAAGCGUUGUUCGGAAUUAUUGGGCGUAAAGCGCGUGUAGGCGGCUUUGCAAGUCGGGUGUGAAAGCCCUCAGCUCAACUGAGGAAGUGCGCCCGAAACUGCAUGGCUUGAGUACCGGAGAGGAUGGCGGAAUUCCCCAAGUAGAGGUGAAAUUCGUAGAUAUGGGGAGGAACACCAGUGGCGAAGGCGGGUCUCUGGGCCGUAACUGACGCUGAGGAGCGAAAGUGUGGGGAGCGAACAGG
rnacentral:rRNA from 1 species